rnacentral:rRNA from 1 species
GACGAACGCUGGCGGCGUGCUUAACACAUGCAAGUCGAACGGAAAGGCCCCGCUUUUGUGGGGUGCUCGAGUGGCGAACGGGUGAGUAACACGUGAGUAACCUGCCCUUGACUUUGGGAUAACUUCAGGAAACUGGGGCUAAUACCGGAUAGGAGCUCCUGCUGCAUGGUGGGGGUUGGAAAGUUUCGGCGGUUGGGGAUGGACUCGCGGCUUAUCAGCUUGUUGGUGGGGUAGUGGCUUACCAAGGCUUUGACGGGUAGCCGGCCUGAGAGGGUGACCGGCCACAUUGGGACUGAGAUACGGCCCAGACUCCUACGGGAGGCAGCAGUGGGGAAUAUUGCACAAUGGGCGGAAGCCUGAUGCAGCAACGCCGCGUGCGGGAUGACGGCCUUCGGGUUGUAAACCGCUUUCGCCUGUGACGAAGCGUGAGUGACGGUAAUGGGUAAAGAAGCACCGGCUAACUACGUG